CUGUAAUUGAGUGGAAAAAGAACAAAAGCAGAUUUACAGUAGAGGGAACAGCCAGCUUUUAAGAUUUGACUGCUAGCCUUCUACAAGCACUUUAUUUUAAAAGCUUUCAGACAUGAAAGACAAAAUGAACACAGCUUAAUACUUCUAAAGUUUCUGAAAGCAGCAAGGCCAGGUUUUUCUGAGAAGUCAGGGGAGCCUUUGCUAAAUCCAUGCCCUGUGUCUUUUCUUCCCAGGACACCUUCUGGUAAUCCCUCCCUCCCCUUUAUUGUUGCUCUGAUGGGUCUGGUACAUGAAGCAGAAGACCAGCCAGUGCUUCAAGUCACAGUUUUGCAGGGAAAAAGGUGAAACAUUGAGAGAGACCUAUGGGAAAGGCCCAUUUCCAGUUGGGAAUUAUAGACCCUUUUUCCUCUGUGGUUGCUGUCUCGCUGGUGAUUCGUGCAGCUUCCUGCAUGGGACAGUCGAUCAACAAACAGUAAAGGACCCUGGGGUGCACAAAGCCCCUUGGUAGCUGGGACCAAGAGUUAACCAUCUCCCUGCAGCAGAAGUUGUUCAGCCAGGUUUGUGGCUCUGUGAUCUACGCUCCCCCAAGGAGAACAGCAGGAGGGCAGAAGUGCACCAGGCUGCUGGCACAGCCCGAAACAGGACUUUGCUCAUACAAGUGUGUUCCUGCUGGCCAAGGGCACCUGUUCCAGUCAUUCCACUCUUGGUCCCUCCUACAGUUUAGGUGAAAAGGCACAACAAAGGAUUCACUCCUCAGCAGACAUCAAAGUGAAACAUUAGUGAAGACUUCUUUGGGAAGAGAUGUGCAGCACCAAAAAGACCUCAGUGGAGGUGUCAAUGGAGGGUGGUACAAAUACUUUUAGCUGUGUUGUCCCAGUUCUGUUCCCAUUUCCAGGCUAGUACGGGGGUUGGAUCCUGCUUCCAGCAGAUGCACUGUCCUGGUGCAACAUGGAAGGACUUGGAAACCCACAUGUGUUCAGAGGUGGCACCAAGGCAGUUUGUCAACAGCACAGAGAAGGGCUGUCAUGGUGAAAAGGGUGAUUUCAGAGAGGACAUGGCUCAAGGCUGGCAGGAGGCACUGUUCCUCCAGCUCCUACCAGAAGCCUGUGAGCACCACUGACCCACCAUCAGCAUCUCCCUUGGCAGGACCAAAAAGGCUGCUUGCCCCAGCACACCUGAUGGUGGGUUUGUCCUUAUGCACUACUGCUCUUUCUGCUCUGUGGCUGGAAAAAAAAAAUUAGGCUAAUUUGCCCACUGCUUUCCACCUGCUUGGGCAUCAGUUAACAACAAUCAUUAAUUAUUAAGGCUAGAUAAUAAUUCAGUCCCAAAUAUUGAUAACUGUCAGUAUGUCUCACAGGACUAGAAUUCUAAGGAGUUUUUUUUUCAGUUUCUAGUUGAAGCUUGAAGAAAACAAAUUUCUCUUUUCCAUUUCAUUUUUCUACUGGUAGUGAGUUAUAAUUCAGGGUAAAAUGAGGAGAGAGGUUCAAUCAGGAAAUGUGACAAGUAUUCAGGGCACAGCUGGGUCUUGGCUUUGAGUCUAUCUUUAGUAUUAAACAGGUUUGAGCUUGUCUCCCACAAAUCGUGUGGGUGGCUCUGGCUGUUCUGGGGCAGAAAUGGAGACAGUUGUUUGUCAUCUCUCCUGCUCUUCCAACACUUUCUCUGAUUCUUCCCAAACUGAUUUGUUUCUGCCCAACACCAGACUAGCAGCCAGCUGCCUCUGAAGGGGACAUCUUUGUCCUGCCUAUCCAAAGCCAGCUGGCUGCUUCUCCUGCUUCCCUUUGUGCCAUACUGGCUAACCCUUCAGAGACCCAGCUCAACCCCCUAAGCUGGUAGAAAACUAACCCUCCAAAAGUGGUGGGAAUGGACUGUUGUUGGAUUGGCAAACUGAUUCAAAUCCUCUAAGGGUUCUGUUUAAUUUAUGUUAGCUAUGUUUUAACAAGCUCAAGGAAGUCAAACCAAUGGAACAGUCCUUCCCUCAUGAAGGGGCACAGGAGAACUAAAAAGUCUAAACAGUCUAAAAAGUUGUUUGGUGAACAGCUCUCUCAGGAGAAACUCAUGUAAAUAAAUUAAUUUUCUGGCUUGGAAGCUUAUCACCAUCUACAAAUAUCAAUGCCUAGACCUAGUUACUAUAGUCCUUUCCUUUUUCCUGUCUAGAUAUCAUAUUUCAUCGUAUUUCUGCCUUUUUCUUCGGUCUCCUGUUUUGGUGUUUCUCUCCUUUUUUAAAAUUACAUUUUUGUUUAAAAUGCAGAUGUCCCUUUGCACAAUGCAGUGAAAGAUUUAGCAACUAGAAUAAAUAAGGUACGUAAUUACCCCAUCUAUUGUGUUUAUGUCAACUUUAUGUGAUAACCUUUAUUGUUCAUCUUCUGUAACAAAUCACUGUUAAUGUUCACCUUAGUAUUCCCCCUCUAUUGCUCACCACUUAAAUCUAAUUUAGUAUAUUCACACAAAAUAUCUAGGGAUGUUAGAGAAAAUGAUUAAUCAAUUAGUUGGAAAGAAGUGCAUUUGACUGUGGAGCCACAUCAGUGAGCAAGUGGUUAGUCUGGUUACGUCAACUUUUGGUCUUUGUCUUACUCUUUCCUGCAAGAGGAGGAAAACUGUUGGGAUGAGUUUGUGCUGCAUCUUCCAGAACAAAACUCUAGGCUACCUGGCAUUCUAGGGUCAGUUUGGAGGCUCAGCUCAACCCAGAGUGGUAAAAUGCCUUUUCCUCUCAGGAAUUGCUGCAGAACUGUACAAAAGGUAAACCAGAGAAUACUCCUGGGGAGGAAACACUGAUGGAGUCUUAGACCUGAGGCAUGCUCCAGGCAGCUGUAGGCACUCAGACAGCCCUGUCUCACAGGUCCUGCUACAACCCUUGUGUCCCAUAAACCUGUCAAGCCACCAACAAGCAAUGUCACCACCCUGAAGUCUCCCCAGAAGAGCGCUCGUGAAGGAACAUGAGUUCUUUGGAGAAGUUCACUCAGGCUGAAGCUGCAUGAGAACAGCUUUAGCAGGCUUCAGCUUCUUCUUGCAGCUCAGUCUGAGAUACUGCAAUGGAUGCCAUUACUCUCCUGGCUCUCUAUCACAGUCUUUAGGAUAUUUAUCUGUGUUACUCUUCUUAUUUCAAAGAUGGCAAAUUAAAGCACUUCAGAAGUACAUAAACAAGUUAGAGGUGAAGUUGAUAGGAAUUGGAUGCCUGACACUUAUCUGGCCAUAAAAAUAGGGUUAUCCCACUCCUCAGUUACCCUUAGAAAUCUAGUCUGGACAAUCCAAAUUCAAAAUUUUGGACAUGUAAAUGCAUCACUCUACCAUCCCACAGCUACAACGUACCACUAAAGGCUGAUAGGUUUCCAUUAAGAGGCAUUUGCAAAGCUUCUUCAGAGCUCUGAAAUUAGAGUGUAAAGGUGCUAAAUUGGAAAGAACAUGAAUAUAUUUGUAAAUAGGAGAAAGGAUGACUUUUCAACUCACAUAGGAAAUUCAUGGCAAAACAAGGGCUCACAUGUGAGCAACCUGGUCUAGUGAAAGGUGUCCCUGCCUACCCACUGUAGGGGGCUUGUAACCUUAAGGUCCCUUCUAACCACCACCAUUAUAUGAUUUUAUGAUUCCAUGAUCUACAGCUUGCAAGGAGCAGGUUAAUACCUUAAUUGCUGUAUUAUCAUCUCACUUCACUAAUGCAAGCGCUUGGUAUAGAGCAUGGAAAAAUUAAAAACUUGUCAUAUUCCCUAAGGAAAAAUCCCCAUGCAAUUUAAUAAGGACAGAUACAAUUUUCAAUAACCUUUCAUGCUUUUAGGUAGAGGUUUAAUGGCUUACCCCAUUCCCAUCCACUCUGUAGGACUUUUCCAGAAUAAUUCCAAUAAUAACGCAACAGCAAUUGUACCAUGCAGCUGUAAAAUUACCAUUUAUAUUACAAAUAUAUAAUAAAUAAAAUAAACCAUAAGCAUACAAUGAAUUCAUAUGUUUUACUGCACUAUGGUGCACACGCAUCAAUAAAUCCUGAUAAUAAGGUUUUCAAAAGUGGAAUUUCAUUGGAAUUAUUUUAUAUCAUGCCAUAUAAUUAGUGUUAGAGACAAGGUUAUGUUUUGCAAGGAAGGGACAAAUAAAACUGUCAAAGUGUUAUUUUAAUAGUCCUAAACCUUUCAUGGAAUAUUGUGGUACUAGUAAUAUUAUAAUAAAAUACGGACCUUUUAAACUACUGUGGCUGAAUAUAAUUUAAAUGUCAAUAGAAAAAGAUCUUUCAUGAGUAGUUCCUUUAUGUGUAAUUCUUUACCCUUGGUGAGUAAUAGUCAAAUGUGUCCAUUCAUGCUCUGACUUCUUAGAGAGGUCGAAAGUGAGAAGCCUGAUUAUUUAUGAACAUGAAAAAAAAUAAAUCUUGUAUGCUGAGAGAUUUAAAGAGUGUGACUGUUUACCUUGGAGAGCAGAUGAAUAAGGAAGGGUUAUGCUAAAAUGGUAUAAAAUCAGGGGUAAUACAAAAAUAGGAAAUUGGGAACUACUGUUCACAGCACAAAAGCAGGGAGAUUAAUAAAAAAGAGGGAAUAAAAAAGAAGGAAGGCAAUCUGAACUGACAUUGCCACAUGACACUGGUAUCAGGAGAUGAGUUGGAGUUGGAACUUUAUCUAACUACACACUGCUACCACCACAGAUUUGGAGAAGAAUUCUCCAGAAAGGAAUAAAUGAAACCAAGCUAAAGGCAGUGUUAUGAAAAGGCUUUUUCCUGGUUAGAUGAUCAGCUUAUCCAGCUUUUCCUUCUGAGCUACUGACACUUCUCUUACUCAUACAUAGUCUGGGACUGUAUAAAAUGUUUCUUUCAAUGACCACAACAAUUGUUUUGUUCUCUACUACAACCAAAUUCUGUACAGGCCAUCUGGGAGAAUUCUCAUCAGCCUUCUAUCUUCAGCAAGGCUGCACUUCCCAAGAAAAAACAGGUGUGUUAUUCCAGCAAUGACUUAGGAAGCUACGUCUCCCUUCAGCAAAAGCAUUAUGCUGAAUUCCUUUCCCAAAUUAAUGGGAUACUGGUAAAACUAGUAGAUCUGAGUUUUAUACCAGGUUCAUCAAGCACAGAACUUUUCAGGUCUGGGAACAGUGUCUGUAUUUGAAUUUUUUACAUCUAGGUAUCAUCAGAGCUAGAGGUACAAGGCAAUGAGUUUCCUCAUGCAAACAGCAACAGGGAAAUCAGAGUUUGCAGUGCAGGAGAGACCUUUGUGCAAUGUGCUACACUCCACACACUCAGGCUGAGAGGUGACUUGCAGGAACCACCAAAGCAGCCAGCACACCAAGACAGCAGGCAUGCAGGGACACACUGAAGAACUUAGGAGCAGGAAUUGUCCUGAGGGACUCCUUCUUCAGAGCAAUUAGCCACUCUAUCAGGCAGCCAUUACUGUUCCUGAAAGUCUAUCAUAAAAUCGACUCCCUGGGGAAUUCUCCCAUUAUAUAGACUUCCAAGGGAACUCCUGGUAACGGGUGUACAGCACAAUCAGGCAUCUGAACAUAAGAAUGCAAUGAGAUUUCAACACCAAGUGGUUUAAACAUUUGUUUCAGACAUAGCAUUAAUAAUACUGCAAAGAUGUUUAACAGACCUAACCAAUGCUGAAAAUCCCAUCCAUGUGAUAUGGUUCAGUAAUGUGAGGAAAAAAAAAGAGAUUCGGGUCUUCAUUUGAGUGUCUUCUUGAGAUUUUUGGUUGCUCCUCAUCAUCAUCAUAAUUCCUAUUUACUGCAGGUUUCCUUUUCUCCUUUCCUUUCCACGUCUUCCACUGUGAAGCCACUUUAACUUUCUGUCAUUCAUUUCUCUGACAUCUUUGCUACCCACUGUCCCACAUGUCCACUCAGUUUAUUCAACCUUACUUCAUGCUAGUUUGUUUCCCAUUUUUUGUCAUCAUCCUUACAAAUUCCUGAAGUAGGAUUUUAAAUCCCUCCUAACCCAAAAAAUCUCUCUCUAUCUUCAAGCAUCACUUCAAAGCCACUUUUCUUAGCUUACAAUUGAUUUGUACAAUGCAGCACUUUGUGAUGACACCAAUAAAACAAUAGCUUGCAACCCACAUCUCAUCUUGAGGCCCUUUAAACAGUUAUAAAAACUGAAGAGAAAGUUAUAUAUAGGGAUCACUUCAUCCCUGGGUGAAAUGCAGCUGCAUUAGGAUGAAAUGUGGCAGCUGCACAAAAGAAUGCUGCAGCAGUUUAUGACAAGAAACAAAGAGAAUACUUUACCCAGC